GCGGUUUCAUAAAGAUUAUAAUUGGUAAUCAAGAUUGUGUGGCCAUUCAGAUAAACAACCUUCCAAGUUAGUGGUACCGCAAGGGCGCUAAUAGAAACAUUGGCGUAAACAAGUCCCCGUUCCUAGAAAUCUCCGGUUGCGUAUGAAUUGAGACAACACUCCCGUGUCUUGAUUGGUUUCUAGCCGACCCCAAGAGGCUAGUGGCGACUCCUAGAAUUACAUAGGUUGUUAAGAACUAAAAAACGAAUCCAACGUUGCGCGAGGUAUGGGCUUGGGAGAGCCCGCGCCUAAUUUAGGGCCAUUGGUCCGCCUCUUUAGGCAAAUACCCCUAAACCUUUUCUUUUUCCCCGG
rnacentral:lncRNA from 1 species